CGCCGCCCGCCCCCGCCGCGCCGCCCGGCCCCGCGGCCCGCCCGGCCCUCGGCGCGGUUCCGACCCGCCGCCGCCCGCGCCCGCCUAGCGCAGCCCGCACCCGCGCGAUCCCGGGCCCCUCGGCCGCCUCGCCCGCGGCCCCCGCCCCUUCCCCGGCAGUCGGCUCCCUCUCCCCCCUCCUAGCCCCUCCCCGAAGCCGCGGUCCCUCCGAAAUGGCCCGGCCCGAGGCCCCGACCCGGCGCGGGGCUGCGGACGGGCUGGGCGGUGCGUCCGGCGACUCGCACAGGAAAGCGGACGGCGAAGGGAGGGAGCCUGGGAGAGGGGGAUGGGAGAAGGGAGGAAGAGGGAGAAGGAGGGAGCGCGGAGGAACGGAGGAGAGAGGGGCCAGGAGGGAGACGCGAGGGAGGGAGCGCGAGGCAAGCCGCGAGGGGGGAGAGAGGGGGAGCCGGAGAGGGGGAGGCGCAGCGCGAGUUGGCCGAGGCCGAGGCCGAGGGGGCCGGGGCGCGGGGAGGGCUAGCCGUGGCGGAAUGUGGGGAGCCCGCGGGCCCGGCGCGGGAGAGGGCUAGGUAGGAGGGGCUGUGGGUGGUGAGGGCAGAUGAGGGGAGGCUGAAGUUUGGGGGCGAGCGGGUCUGUGGCAGAGGUGAAGUGGGAGGAGUUUGGGGGAUCCUGGGGUAGAGAUUGGGAUAAUGGGAUUGGAUUGGAAAGAUGGAGCUGCCUGGGGGCUUUGUGGGUGCCUGGUGAGAAGUGAGAGAAGCUUGGGGUGAGGGAUCUGUGGCAGAGAUGGAGCCAGACGGGUUUGGGGGCUAUUAUCAGAGAGAAUGGGAUGGAAGUUUGGGGUCAUAAGGAGAGAGAAAAAUUGAAAAGAUGACAUAUAUAGAAAGAUGGGGCUUCUGGAAAAAGUAAAGCUUUUGGGGGUGAUUAGUGUUGACAAAAGAGUCAUAAAUAUAAGAAUUGGGGGUGGGGGGAUGAAGGAAUGCUGGAGAGAGAGAAGUCCAGAGGAAACGUCAGUGAGGAGAGAGAGGAGGGAACGCGUGAGGAACCUUAAGAAGGGAUGAACGAGGUAGCCUCUGGCAGUCAGUCUGCUCCCGGCCGUGAAGCCAGCACCUCCGCCAGCCCACCACCAGUUCCUUCUCCUGGGCUCCCUCCUGGCCCUCCACCAAGCGGCAACAUCUCCCAGGACAAAGGACACAGGGUCCUUCCGUAUACUACCCCCGGAACCAUUCUUCCUUCCCAUUUCCCCAUCUUGCAGUGGGUGAUGGCCAUGAAGUCCUGUUCCAUUCGAGAACCAGCCAGGGUUUUGUUGGCAGAGGCCCAGUACAGGAGCUGCUCCAGUCCACAAGCCCUUUGGAUAUGAAAACACCUUAGACCCCCUUUCCCCCAAAAUGCGCGUGCACACACACACACACACAAAAUAUUUUAUGCUUUUAGGGGCUCUUGAACCCCUUAAUUCACCUGCGUCUGGGAGCCAAGCCUUCUGCUAAGAAAGCAGGGGCCACAUGCACCCCACCUAGCCAGAAUGGGGUAGGCAGUGCCAUCAUCUCGGCCAUAUUUGUUCAGUUUGUCUUCCUCUUUUUGUGCCCCCCCAGCUCUGCUAUCCAGUUUCACCAGCUUCCAGGUGCUCCAUCUUCUCUCCCCUCAUAGGGACUAGAGUAAGACUCCUUAGACACAACAGUGCACUGAUUCAGACUUUAAUGGAGGUGCUCAUUUCAAUGCCACAGAGGUGGUGGCAACUGUGGAACGUGGCAUGGGGAGUGAGAGGUUGCUCUGGUGCAGCUGGAGGAAGAACAGGGAACCUAGGGUUGGGGAGAGAUGUAUAGAGGAAAACUCCCCCAGGCACACAGCCUCCGCUCUGGACCAACGCAGGCUUCAGUGAGUACACACAAAGGAACUGAUGUCAAGGCCCUUUCUAUGACCCUUCCCAUUCUAGCAAGACCUCCCACCCCAGUCAUCUUGGGAUCUACAGCCACAUGAAAUACAGACACAUCGUUCCCCCAAGUCAGGCCAGUUUUAGGCCAUUGAGUUAUGGGGAAAUGAUUAAUGGGAUGAAUGAAAAACAAAUAAAAUAAAUAAAUAAAUAAAUACACUAAAGCCUUAUUAGCCAGGCGUGAUCACAUGCCCAACACUCCCCUCCAUCCCAGCACUAUGCACAGUUCACGGCUCAUAUGCAAAGUGGAAGACACGUGGGACAAGA
rnacentral:lncRNA from 1 species